CGCCUCCUGCAAUAUAAAGUAUAGGAGGUCCAGCCUGCCCAGUGACUACGGGUUCAACGGCCGCGGUAUAUUGACCGUGCAAAGGUAGCGCAAUCACUUGUCUUUUAAAUAGAGACCUGUAUGAAUGGCUAGACGAGGGCUUAACUGUCUCCCCCUUCCAGUCAGUGAAAUUGAUCUAUCCGUGCAGAAGCGGGUAUAAUACUACAAGACGAGAAGACCCUUUGGAGCUUAAGGUACAAAAUUCAGCCAUGUUAAGCAACUCCAUAGAAAGCAAGAACUUUAUGGCCAUGAAACUUUACCUUCGGUUGGGGCGACCACGGAGGAAAAGCAAGCCUCCGAGUGGACUGGGCCAAACCCCUAAAGCUAAAAGAGACAUCUUUAAGCCGCAGAACAUCUGACCAACAAUGAUCCGACCAAGAGGUCGAUCAACGGACCAAGUUACCCCAGGGAUAACAGCGCAAUCCUCUCCCAGAGCCCAUAUCGACGAGGGGGUUUACGACCUCGAUGUUGGAUCAGGACAUCCUAAUGGUGCAGCCGCUAUUAAGGGUUCGUUUGUUCAACGAUUAAAGUCCU
rnacentral:rRNA from 1 species